rnacentral:rRNA from 1 species
UACGUAGGGUGCAAGCGUUGUCCGGAAUUAUUGGGCGUAAAGAGCUCGUAGGCGGUCUGUCGCGUCUGCUGUGAAAACUCGGGGCUUAACCCCGGGCCUGCAGUGGGUACGGGCAGACUAGAGUGCGGUAGGGGAGACUGGAAUUCCGUGGUGUAGCGGUGGAAUGCGCAGAUAUCAGGAGGAACACCGGUGGCGAAGGCGGUUCUCUGGGCCUUACCUGACGCUGGAGGAGCGAAAGCCGUGGGGAGCGAACAGG